UGCCUCCACAGCACCACAUUUAUAUAUUUAUGCAACCAUGAAAUGCAUAUUCAGAAUAUAAAAGCAUUUGACAUAUUAUUUCAAACCAUACUCUCCUUAAAAAAUACAUUUCUGGGAAAUAUAUCAAGUAUAUAAAUAUAUACUGAAAACAAAAGCCCACUCACUAGUAUGUCAAAGGGUCGUAGCCCCCGAGUCACCCGUGGAUACGCUCGUCCUUGGGAUAAGCCUCACCUAUAUGCGAAUUAACUAUAAAAAUGUUAUUUUAAAGCACAUAGGCAAAAACUAGCUAAUAACUUCUCAUACAAUGCUCAAUUUGGGUAUAUGAAUAUACCACAGUGACCUACACAACCUCAGGAUCAUCCCCAAAUUUUCAAAAUAAUUUUCUGACCCCACAUGCGCCAGCCAAGGCACGGCAAUACGCUCCGCCAUGCGCAGGGGAUCCUGACGGAUUCUACAAACGGCGUCAGGAAUAUUCCGUUAAAUC
rnacentral:lncRNA from 1 species